UUACACCAGCAUCCUGUUUCAAUCUGAAACAUGUAAGUAUUUCUAUUUCUGCUCAAAGAUAAAAGACAAUUUCUUUAGACACAGCAGGACUCAGGCAGGUUGAAGCAACACAGUGAGCGUGUGUCUUCAGCUGCAGCCAUGGCGCUCAGGUGGAUCAUUCUGUUCUUUGGCCUGGGACUGGCAGCAGCCAAGCUAACAGGUGACACAGAAAUUGAUGUUGAUGAAGGCCAAGACUGGGACAUCUUUAGCAUCAAUGAAGCGGCUGGUCUGGACCUGCUGGAGG